AGGGUAUUGCUGCAGACCGGAGACAUUAUGGGCGGAUCUGAAGGCGGGAUAACUGUAAAUGCAAGUGGAUAGUAUUGGCUAAUUCAGAAUUUCAACGAAUGAGAUUAUUAAUACUCUAUGACAAUCAAAAACUCACCUGUCCAAUUAUCAGCGCUUGAAGCUGUCUAUCAAGUGUAACUUUAACCAAACAUUUCACAGUUCGUGAUCCCUACCUCUUUGAGGUUCCGCCUUAUUGAGUUACCUCUAAAUAACCUGCCGUUGUACCAACAGAUGAAACUCCAUUAAACUAAAGGAGAUAAAAAAAGAAGCUGCGGCGAUGAAACUCCAUUAGACAAAAGAAGAAGAAGCGACCAAACUAAUUGCUCGUAUUUUUGACAAUGGAACCAGCUUGCUACAAGAAUAUCUUCUGGAAAUUGGAUGUUAAUGAAAAAUGAGGACAUCCCUGCUGGUUCAGUAGACUGUGGAAUAGACACAUUGAUGGUGUGUGAAUAUGAACUGUAAGCUUUAUGUAACUUUACAUUUGUGUUUAGAUUGUGUAGGAUUUCAAUACUUUUUCUCUUAUUCUCUCUCAGUAUUCUCUUUAUCUGACUAUAGAGGAACCCUUUGAUUUUACUGUCAGUCUUUAAAAGAUACUGAUAAUAUAUAAUUUUUUUUUCAUGUGUGACAUACCUUUAAUUGUGUCAUUCAUUUAACGUGCCCUCCACUAUUAAUGACACCCCUUAUAAAAAUGUUAAUUUUAAAAAUAUUUAUUUCUUGAUGAGGGCUUUGUUUUUCUUUGAAUGAAAUUGUUUCAAUUACAAGUCAGAAGUUUCUAAUUUUUUCAGUGCAAGGUGACAUUUCUUCAGCAAACAGGGAUCUUUUUUCUAACCCUUCUUACUAAUUUUUACAAGGGGUGCCAAUAAUAGUGGAGAGCACUGUGUUUAUCCUUUUUAUUUUAGGAUGACAUGUCUGUGACUUGCAUAUUACUUUAGGUAGUGUCCAGAUUGGGGUAUUCAUAAUAUUCUGAAAUAAUUGAUGUAUUCUAAAAAAACUAUUGAGAUAACCAUGAAUGAGAGUUUGUGUAGUGAACCACAGAGGAAUUCUCACAGUUUGAACUCUACACCAAAGUGUCCACUUUUAUGAGAAAACAGGAGUGUUCAUACCCAAACCAGAUAGUUUGCACAAGACAAAUACUUCAUGUGACAGUCUGAUGUAUUUAUUUGUGUGUGUCCACCAUGUAGGAGAGCAGGCUGGCUGUGUGACUGCAGUGGGGCAGCUGACUUGAGAACAACGGGCUCAGGUUUAUGAGGCUGCAGAGAUCAGCAGGGCCUCCAGGAGACUCAACAUGGAAAACUGUUGGAGUUCAUCAUAAAAUGCCAUGGAGCAGAUGAUCACUUGCUGGUAACUUAGUUCAGAUAACAAGUAAACCUUUGUUAUUGUAAUCUAUCUAGCAGCAAAGAGCUGUGAUGACCUUAUAGCACCAAACUCUUGUAUUUGCUUGUCCAACAGGCUGUUGUAUCUGAAAAGGUGUCAUCCAAACGGUUUAAAAAAUUAUGAAGCUCUUAAAGGUCACCGGGUAAUGACCUCUAUACAGUAGAAGAUGAGGAGCUGACAGAUGGCUUCUACAACUACCUGAUGAAGUGCUAUCAAGAGCUGUAGGCACUUUUGAAAAGAUCAACAGAGUUCACAUCAUUGUGGAUGUGCUGAUGCCAGAGGCUCAUUUGGCUUCAGUGAAUCUCUGAUGAGUACAGAGAGUGUCUCCAUGAGUAAGAAGCAGAAGGUCUGCUCAUUGAUGGACCAGCAGACGAUGAGUGGGACGUCAUGUGGUGUUGGGGAGCAGACAGUUCUUUCUUUUUAUUUUCAGCGCCAUUAUUCUGUUAAUUAUAAUACCAUUUUACUUGUAGUGUAUUUAGCCAAGAAUAUAAACUAAAUACAUAUAAAUGUAAAUAUAUGUUUAAAGUGAUAUUUAAAAUACACAUUAAUACACUUUUAGUAUUGGUGAAAGUCAAUCUUUUGUUUAUUUUUUAAAGUGAGUGAAGAGUUUGACAAACUUGAGCUUCAACUGUUGGAGUACCAAAGACAGACAACAUCACUGAGGCAUCUCAACUUGGGAUUCCAUCUCAACGCCUCCUCUAAUAAACGUGUCACUGGCUUUAUUAGUCUUUGGCCUUUUUUUUUUCUGAGUGUUAAACUGACUGUGCAUAAUAGAGUUGUGUAUAUUUGAUUUAACUAUUGAUGUAAAUAAUAAAGGACAUUUUGUCUGGGUAUCUGUUUUAGCCAAUUCAUGCCAUCUGCAUUUUUUCUUUAAUUUUUAUAAAUGCAUUGUACAGUUUUAUUACUUUUGUAAACAUUACAAGCAAACAUGUCUAUCACCAUUACAUAUUAUUUAUAUAUAAUAUAUAGAAGUGGGCCUGCUUUAGUAUAUUCCCCGAUCAGUCUGUUUGUUAGAAUGCACAAAGAAGAUGAAUUUUUCUUUCAGUUCAACUGACCCAUCAUUAUUGUUAAUUCUAAAUGUUUCUUGAAAUGGUUGUACAAUUUAUACUGAAUGAUUACUAAUAACAUUAUGUUUUUGGUAGUGACAAUACGGAGUGUUUUAAUUUGUGCUGCCCAAUCACCUCGUGUAAUAACACAACUAGAACUGAUAGAUUUGAGCAGAGCCUCCUCUUGUAUCAACACUGUCUAUAAAUGGCACUUUGCUGGACUCACCGGUAAUCCCACAGCUUGGAAACUGAGCAUCCUGAUCAAGACUGUGCUGUUCACUUACAAACAUAGUCUACAACAAUAAGGGUCUUACUGAUCUUUAAUUA